rnacentral:lncRNA from 1 species
UUUCCAAUUCCUGCUCUCAAACCCUACUGUCCGAAUACACAUCUUCCCUUUCACGUUUCCUGCCGAUCAAUUGAUUUAUCAAUCCUAUAAUAGUAUAAUAUACUAAUCUCAUCAAUGUAAGUUUCUCUCUAUUACUUGCUCUCUACACCCUCUUCGAUCGCUGCUUUGGUUUUCCCUGGUAUGUAACACUUUGACAAUUGUUUUAUGGUUUAAUUUGGGGGUUUUAGGGUUUUGUUACUUUAGGUUUAUGUUUUGAUUUGGUGCUUUAAUUUGCGUUGUUUUUUUUAAAUUGGUUGUUUAGGGUUAUGUUCUUGCUUUUUUGUUAUCGAGUGUUUGAUUCUUAUAUGUUGUGCCGGGUUCAAGACAUUUUGAUUAUGGGGUAUGCAUCUUGUUGGUAUUUUAUUUAUUGACGUAUGUAUAUGAUCAGAUAGUUAAAAUGUUGGUUCAAACAAUACUAUAUUUGUAUUCAUACUUGAGGUAGUGUUGCAAUGUUGUUGUAGUUUUAGAUGUCAAGAAAAUGAGUAAUUUGUUGUAUUAA